UAGGGAAUCUUCGGCAAUGGACGGAAGUCUGACCGAGCAACGCCGCGUGAGUGAAGAAGGUUUUCGGAUCGUAAAGCUCUGUUGUAAGAGAAGAACGGGUGCGAGAGUGGAGAGUUCACACUGUGACGGUAUCUUACCAGAAAGGGACGGCUAACUACGUGCCAGCAGCCGCGGUAAUACGUAGGUCCCGAGCGUUGUCCGGAUUUAUUGGGCGUAAAGCGAGCGCAGGCGGUUAGAUAAGUCUGAAGUUAAAGGCUGUGGCUUAACCAUAGUACGCUUUGGAAACUGUUUAACUUGAGUGCAAGAGGGGAGAGUGGAAUUCCAUGUGUAGCGGUGAAAUGCGUAGAUAUAUGGAGGAACACCGGUGGCGAAAGCGGCUCUCUGGCUUGUAACUGACGCUGAGGCUCGAAAGCGUGGGGAGCAAACAGGAUUAGAUACCCUGGUAGUCCACGCCGUAAACGAUGAGUGCUAGGUGUUAGACCCUUUCCGGGGUUUAGUGCCGCAGCUAACGCAUUAAGCACUCCGCCUGGGGAGUACGACCGCAAGGUUG
rnacentral:rRNA from 1 species